CUAGCAAGUUAUAAAAACUGAUGGAAGAUGCUUUGUGUAUUCUUUUGUGUGUCUAUCAGAACAGGCAUGGUGGGAGGGCGAUGCUCUGUUGACUGCUUUUUUUAAUAAUAUUACAGAGGGAGGAUCGAAGUGGAGAUUGGUACUUUCCCUUUCAGCGGCCAAAGAAAAGCAACACUUUUUCAUGUGAUUUCAGAUGAAACGACCAGAGUGUGUAAAAUCUGGAUCGCUACAAACAGGUCAAGAAUAACUUCUCCAAGCUCUCAGAAGAGAAGCCAUAAUGUGACUCCCAGGUGCCUCUCUGAGAGAAAAGCUGGAGAUGCUUUGCCAGUGGUAAAACAAAGGGAAGUAAUUGCUACGGACGCCAGCCAGGUGUUCAUGCUAUUUGAUUAAUGUUUUCUGCUCUUAAUAAUGCUUCCGUUUUUCUUCUUUUAGAACCCUUCUUUUGUACUCUUGGAUGAAGAAGUCAAGCUAUUGGAGAGAUCAAUUAAGGAGCUCAAAAGAACUUUAGUGUUCUCAAAAGUAGCUUUAUUUAGUUUGAGUGAAUUUCGUGGCCUAAGUGUUGUAGCUAUUCAUUUUGCCACGCAUUCUGAAUGUUAGUACACACCCAUGUUGGUAAAGAACUCCUAUUGUUAUGCCUGUUAUGACAACAACUUUCCCAGAUUUUUGUGCAUAAACAUACAUAUGUGGACUAAAUUCUUUUGUUACUUGCUCAGCCAAUACAUAUGUAUGCUUUUUUUU